CGCGUAGGCGGUUAUUUAAGUCGGAUGUGAAAGCCCUGGGCUUAACCUGGGAACUGCAUUCGAUACUGGACGACUAGAGUACGAGAGAGGGAGGUAGAAUUCCACGUGUAGCGGUGAAAUGCGUAGACAUGUGGAGGAAUACCAGUGGCGAAGGCGGCCUCCUGGCUCGAUACUGACGCUGAGGUGCGAAAGCGUGGGGAGCAAACA
rnacentral:rRNA from 1 species